CUUCACAAUGUAGCAGGACCUAUUAAGAGAAAAGCGGUUAAUGCUUCUAAAAUGUAAUUCCCCAUUUUGAUCUUGAUUAUGUUUGCAAUUUAAAAAGUAAUUCAACAUUGUAAUUGUACUAAUUGCUAGCAUAUGGCUUUCAUAGAGUCCAGAGAAAUAAUUUGUGCAUGUUUUUAGCCCAGCAAAAUGCACACACUUAAUAACAUGAAUAUGAACGACUAAUCUUAG